GGUGUAUUAGUUCAAUGGUAGAACGUGGUAGUACGGUUACCAAAAUAUGAGUUCAAGUCUCGAAUACAUUU
rnacentral:tRNA from 1 species